AACCAGAAAGCCACGGCUAACUACGUGCCAGCAGCCGCGGUAAUACGUAGGUGGCAAGCGUUGUCCGGAAUUAUUGGGCGUAAAGCGCGCGCAGGCGGUUCCUUAAGUCUGAUGUGAAAGCCCACGGCUCAACCGUGGAGGGUCAUUGGAAACUGGGGAACUUGAGUGCAGAAGAGGAGAGUGGAAUUCCACGUGUAGCGGUGAAAUGCGUAGAGAUGUGGAGGAACACCAGUGGCGAAGGCGACUCUCUGGUCUGUAACUGACGCUGAGGCGCGAAAGCGUGGGGAGCAAACAGGAUUAGAUACCCUGGUAGUCCACGCCGUAAACGAUGUGUGCUAAGUGUUAGAGGGUUUCCGCCCUUUAGUGCUGCAGCAAACGCAUUAAGCACUCCGCCUGG
rnacentral:rRNA from 2 species